AAACUUCUAUAAAUAUUUUAAUGUAUUUUAUUCUUUUGUCUUUUACAAUCUUUACAUUAUCCUAAUAUGUUAUUUCAAUUAAGUAUUGAAAUAUAACUUCUUCAUGUGGAUGUAUAACUUGGGCUGUAAGAAGAAUCUGAACUUUUUAGAAGAAACCUUCUACAAAUGUUAUUUUAUUUCACCAACUGUUAAAACCAUUAAUAUCAGCAAAGAUCAACUUUUAGAAUCUCAACUGCUCUUCAAGAAAGAUGGCCAAUGGGAGCACCAAUAGCCUCUGUUUAGGGGACAGGGGGAACAAUUCGCCUAACUGGUAACUUAGUGCUCGCUGUGGGAGGGAGUUAAGGGAAGAGAUUUUACUUUCUGCUUUAUAUACUUCUGCAUUGUUGUACUUUUUUAUACCAAGCAUGAAUUACUUUUAUAAUCAAAAAUAAAAUUUACAUUUCUCAAAUGAGAACUCCUGACCAUCAGCAUUCCACUUUCUUAGUUAAAAUAUACAAGAUCUCCAACACAAGGACUGAUGUAAUCCCCAUUUUUGGAAAAGCCUAGAGAGAAAUGCAGCCUUUGUCCAGUCUAACACUAUCAUUUGAUAGAAGAGAAAAAUGAGCCCCAGAGUGACUUGCCCACUAUCAGGAGAUAUGGCUAUGGUGGUUCACCUGACUCCAACCUCAACAGAUAUUGGCCUCUUUGGCCUUGAGGACUUCUGCUGGCUCAUCUGUCAAAGCACAAGGGCUGUCAGGACCAAUAAGCCAAGCUGGCCUCCACAAAGCAUAGAUGUAAGUUAUAGGUACUGCAAUGGUCUAUCUAUGACACAGUCGGCUCACAGAGUUGUCACUGCUGAUGGGUGACAGUCAAGGUGGAUUACAGGGACUGCCCUGGCCUCUCUGCCUGUGACACAGCUGACUCACAGAGAACGGUCAUUGCUGAUGGGUGACAGUGACACACCUCACCUAGAUAAGCAGGGCUUCCCUGACUUAUGUGAUCAGGCUUCCUAACAGAACCACUCACGUGUUGCCUUUGAGAGCAAACACACAGUAGUGAGGUGGAUGGCUGGUAUGGGGAUGCAGAAUGCCCUGAACCCAACUCCUGGACUUCUGCCAUGAUGUAAAGUGAUCAGUCAUUUCUUUAAGUUAAGAUUUGGCAGAAAGGAGGUGGAAGCAAAGCAGGGUACUGACAACCAAUGGUGAAACAGCUAGAGCCCUUUAUAUACCACACCUAAGUUGUCAUCCCUGGAGCUGGAGAGGGAGAAGCUGGUUUGGGCUGACUUUCUACUUUAAAUAGCUGCCCAUGUCUUUAACAUCUUAGAAGGGAUUCAUAAAGACUAGGCUUUUGUUUUGCUGCCACUCAACAGGAAAUUCUAUUUCUAAAGGUCUGAACUUCUUUCCACAACCUGAAUCUGCUUCUUUG
rnacentral:lncRNA from 1 species